rnacentral:rRNA from 1 species
GCAAAUCUCUUAAAGCGUUCUCAGUUCGGAUUGUAGGCUGCAACUCGCCUACAUGAAGUCGGAAUCGCUAGUAAUCGCGGAUCAGCAUGCCGCGGUGAAUACGUUCCCGGGCCUUGUACACACCGCCCGUCACACCAUGAGAGUUUGUAACACCCAAAGCCGGUGGGGUAACCUUUUGGAGCCAGCCGUCUAAGGUGGGACAGAUGAUUGGGGUGAAGUCGUAACAAGGUACC